rnacentral:rRNA from 1 species
UACCAGCACCCCGAGUGGUCGGGACGUUAUUGGGCCUAAAGCAUCCGUAGCCGGUUCUGCAAGUCCCCCGUUAAAUCCAGCUGCUCAACAGAUGGGCCGCGGAGGAUACUACAGAGCUAGGAGGCAGGAGAGGCAAGCGGUACUCAGUGGGUAGGGGUAAAAUCCGUUGAUCCAUUGAAGACCACCAGUGGCGAAGGCGGCUUGCCAGAAUGCGCUCGACGUG